UGCGGUGUGGGAUGGGCCCGCGGCCUAUCAGCUUGUUGGUGGGGUAAUGGCCUACCAAGGCGACGACGGGUAGCCGGCCUGAGAGGGUGACCGGCCACACUGGGACUGAGAUACGGCCCAGACUCCUACGGGAGGCAGCAGUGGGGAAUAUUGCACAAUGGGCGCAAGCCUGAUGCAGCGACGCCGCGUGAGGGAUGACGGCCUUCGGGUUGUAAACCUCUUUCAAUAGGGACGAAGCGCAAGUGACGGUACCUAUAGAAGAAGGACCGGCCAACUACGUGCCAGCAGCCGCGGUAAUACGUAGGGUCCGAGCGUUGUCCGGAAUUACUGGGCGUAAAGAGCUCGUAGGUGGUUUGUCGCGUUGUUCGUGAAAACUCACAGCUUAACUGUGGGCGUGCGGGCGAUACGGGCAGACUAGAGUACUGCAGGGGAGACUGGAAUUCCUGGUGUAGCGGUGGAAUGCGCAGAUAUCAGGAGGAACACCGGUGGCGAAGGCGGGUCUCUGGGCAGUAACUGACGCUGAGGAGCGAAAGCGUGGGGAGCGAACAGGAUUAGAUACCCUGGUAGUCCACGCCGUAAACGGUGGGUACUAGGUGUGGGUUUCCUUCCUUGGGAUCCGUGCCGUAGCUAACGCAUUAAGUACCCCGCCUGGGGAGUACGGCCGCAAGGCUAAAACUCAAAGAAAUUGACGGGGGCCCGCACAAGCGGCGGAGCAUGUGGAUUAAUUCGAUGCAACGCGAAGAAC
rnacentral:rRNA from 1 species